GAUGAACGCUGGCGGCGUGCCUAAUACAUGCAAGUCGAGCGAACAGAUAAGGAGCUUGCUCCUUUGACGUUAGCGGCGGACGGGUGAGUAACACGUGGGUAACCUACCUAUAAGACUGGGAUAACUUCGGGAAACCGGAGCUAAUACCGGAUAACAUUUGGAACCGCAUGGUUCUAAAGUGAAAGAUGGUUUUGCUAUCACUUAUAGAUGGACCCGCGCCGUAUUAGCUAGUUGGUAAGGUAACGGCUUACCAAGGCGACGAUACGUAGCCGACCUGAGAGGGUGAUUGGCCACACUGGAACUGAGACACGGUCCAGACUCCUACGGGAGGCAGCAGUAGGGAAUCUUCCGCAAUGGGCGAAAGCCUGACGGAGCAACGCCGCGUGAGUGAUGAAGGGUUUCGGCUCGUAAAACUCUGUUAUUAGGGAAGAACAAACGUGUAAGUAACUGUGCACGUCUUGACGGUACCUAAUCAGAAAGCCACGGCUAACUACGUG
rnacentral:rRNA from 1 species